CAGGAUAUUUGAAGGGAGCUGUUCCUAGUACGAGAGGACCGGAAUGGACUGACCUCUGGUGUGUCAGUUGUCGUGCCAACGGCAGCGCUGAGUAGCUAUGUCGGGAAAGGAUAACCGCUGAAAGCAUCUAAGCGGGAAACCUGCCUUAAGAUAAGAUAUCCCGUGGCAUAAGCCACCUAAAGGCCCCUGGUAGACUACCAGGUUGAUAGGCUGGAUGUGUAAGGGCUGUGAGGCCUUAAGCUAACCAGUACUAAUUGGCCGUGCGGCUUGACCAUAUAA
rnacentral:rRNA from 1 species